rnacentral:rRNA from 1 species
GACGAACGCUGGCGGCGUGCUUAACACAUGCAAGUCGAACGAUGGAACCACUUCGGUGGGAUUAGUGGCGAACGGGUGAGUAACACGUGGGCAAUCUGCCCUUCACGUCUGGGACAAGCCCUGGAAACGGGGUCUAAUACCGGAUACCACUCUCGCGGGCAUCUGCGAGGUUGAAAGCUCCGGCGGUGAAGGAUGAGCCCGCGGCCUAUCAGCUUGGUUGGUGAGGUAAUGGCUCACCAAGGCGACGACGGGUAGCCGGCCUGAGAGGCGACCGGCCACACUGGGACUGAGACAC